UGGGGAAUAUUGCACAAUGGGCGCAAGCCUGAUGCAGCCAUGCCGCGUGUGUGAAGAAGGCCUUCGGGUUGUAAAGCACUUUCAGCGAGGAGGAAGGUGGUGAGCUUAAUACGCUCAUCAAUUGACGUUACUCGCAGAAGAAGCACCGGCUAACUCCGUGCCAGCAGCCGCGGUAAUACGGAGGGCGCAAGCGUUAAUCGGAAUUACUGGGCGUAAAGCGCACGCAGGCGGUUUGUUAAGUCAGAUGUGAAAUCCCCGGGCUCAACCUGGGAACUGCAUUUGAAACUGGCAAGCUAGAGUCUCGUAGAGGGGGGUAGAAUUCCAGGUGUAGCGGUGAAAUGCGUAGAGAUCUGGAGGAAUACCGGUGGCGAAGGCGGCCCCCUGGACGAAGACUGACGCUCAGGUGCGAAAGCGUGGGGAGCAAACAGGAUUAGAUACCCUGGUAGUCCACGCUGUAAAACGAUGUCGAUUUUGGAGGUUGUGCCCUUGAGGCGUGGCUUCCGGAGCUAACGCGUUAAAUCGACCGCCUGGGGAGUACGGCCGCAAGGUUAAAACUUAAAUGAAUUGACGGGGUC
rnacentral:rRNA from 1 species